rnacentral:lncRNA from 1 species
GUCAAGGUGAGAACUCUGCAGACAAAUUGCAGGAGGAAUUUAUACCAAAGGCAAACAAGAGGUGCAGAGGCUUGCCCGUAUUCCCACUAUCUCUGCACACAAAAAGCCUUUCAGCCACCAAUGCAAAUGGGAAAAAGCAGGCUCAGCCCAGCUGUGCUCCAGCCCCAACUUUGGCUGCCCAACAGCACAAGACUAAGGAAAGCUGCAAGACAGACGGACUGAAUGCAGAGGAGAGCUUCCAACUGGAACCUCCAUUGAAGAAACAGGCAGAGUGCAAGAAACUGCCAGGGAAACGUAAAUGUAAAACAAUGCAACUGAAAGUGCAGGGGAGCAGAAAGAGAUCAUUCCUGACAAUGGAUGACCCCUUUGACAUUGAAAACACCCACGCUGUGGUCGCAGUACCAAGGAAGGUGAUGAAGCAAGCAGAGCCCACUUUGCACUGCGGCUCCUUGCCUGCCUGUAAGAGAUUAUUCUUUUGCACCAUUGUCUCAAAGCUUGCUGAGAAAUACUGAUGGACACAUCCUGGUCAAGGGCUGAGAAAUCAUCUGUCUAAAGGAUUACUCACAAGUCCUGGCAAGUCCUGGUCAAGGUGGCCAAAAUCUUUCAUCUGAAGAUUUGCAGGACAGGGGCAACCAGAGAGAGAUGAGUAGCAGUUUAAUGGCCAGGAAGCAGUCAUUUGUGUGGGCUUAUCUUGAGGGAGACAGCCAUCUCAAGUGGCACUCACAUGACUUUUACCCAGGCGCCCGGGAAUGCCACUUUGACAGAAGAAGGAUAUAAAAAAGGGACCAGCAGCCAAGCAGCAAGGUGGCUGACAUCAGAUGCCUCUCGACGUGAUGCCUGCCUGCUGACGGACUCUUCUGGGCCUGCUACCUGAGACCUGCCUCUUCCUCCUGGACUUGCUGUCACUGGACCUGCGUGCUGCCUAAGACUGGCCACUCUGCUGCUGCUCUCCCCCUGCAACUUUGCCUCGGACCAUCAGAACAGCAUGCAAUGGGACAUUGCUGGAUCUUGAUGGUGACUAUCUCUGCUUUCCGUAAUUCUUGCUUCUUUCCUAUCUUUCCUAUUGCCCGCUUUCCCUUCCCCACCACCCCAAUUCAUAAUAGUUGGCAUCCUUCUCUUCCCCAUCUCCCUAAACAGGUUGGGCUAACAUUUCAACCACUGUCUUAAUCUCACCAUUGGGUAUACAAGUAUUAAAAGAACCUCCUCUCUCUCCUAUAAAUCAGAGAGAGAGACUGCCAAACCCUACAAGCAGAAGCUGCACAAGCAGCUGCCGCAGCCCUCCUCACCACCAACCCCCCAGCCUGCCAUGCUGCAGCUGGACAGCCCCCGCCAGCCAUGUCACCCGAGGCCUGCUCCAUUCCUUUUGACAAGAACAAGGGCAAGACCCGCACAAGAGAGCGCUUUUCAAAAGCUCACAAAAUCCUCAUAGAAAGCUGUACGUUAAAUAUUGAAUAUAUUAGUCACAUAGAAGCAUGCCAGUACAAAAGGGACACAAGGAAUUGCGUACAUGCCCUGACAUACAAGGGAUGGGAACAAAUGUAGCUGGAUUCAGGUUAGGCUUCCAUACCCAGGCCAUAAGUGCUGUCAGGGUUAUCCCCAUCAGCUUAUAAGGAGAUUCUAAAAAUCCAAAUUGUGUUUCACACACACGUGUACGUAACAUGUCACAACUUAUCCCCACACAUAUAGCUAAGCUCAGAGACCAGCAGGUUUCUCUCACGUUCUUGGUGCACUGGUCUCUCUCCCCCAGGAAAAUGCUGGCAACCCUACAAAGUACUUCUGAUUUUUUGAUAAAACCAUUGCAUUCUUCCAGUAACA